GAUGAACGCUGGCGGCGUGCCUAACACAUGCAAGUCGAACGAACGGACGAGAAUCUUGCGUCUCUGAUGUUAGCGGCGCACGUGUGAGUAACACGUGUAUAACCUACCUAUAAGACUGGGAUAACUACGGGAAACCGGAUCUUAUACCGUAUAAUAUCUUGAACCUCAUGGUGCGAAAGUAAAAUACGGUCUUUCUGUCACGUAUCGAUGGAUCCGCGCUGCAUUAGAUAGUUGUUAAGGUAACCGCGUACCAAGGCAACGAUGCAUAGCCGACCUGAGAGAGUGAUAGGCCACACUGGAACUGAGACACGGUCAAGAGUACUACGGGAGGCAGCAGUCGGGAAUCUUACGCAAAGGGCGAGAGCAUGACGGAGCCCCGCCGCGUGAGUGAUGACGGUCUUCGGAUCGUAAAACUCUGUUAUUAGGGAAGAACCUAUUUCUAAGUAAAUGUGAAGAGCUUGACGGUAACUAAUAAGAAAGCAACGGCUAACUACGUG
rnacentral:rRNA from 1 species